UACGUAGGGGGCUAGCGUUGUCCGGAAUCAUUGGGCGUAAAGAGCGCGCAGGCGGUCGGAUUAGUCGCGUGUGAAAGCCCCCGGCUCAACUGGGGAGGGUCACGCGAUACUGUUCGACUCGAAGGCAGGAGAGGGAAGUGGAAUUCCCGGUGUAGUGGUGAAAUGCGUAGAUAUCGGGAGGAACACCAGUGGCGAAGGCGACUUCCUGGCCUGUUCUUGACGCUGAGGCGCGAAAGCCAGGGGAGCGAACGGG
rnacentral:rRNA from 1 species